CAACUUCCACCUGGCAUACCUCUUCAGUUAUGUGUCAAGGCUUGUAUUUCCUUGAGCAUAUUGUGGGUUUCCUGUGUUGCAUACCUGAUUGAUGGUAAUGUUUUGAUYGAUGGUAGUCCCUUGCAUCUUGUGUUGCAUUUGUGACGCGUGAUGUACCUUGAAGUGGUCUCUAUGUUCCAUUAUGUUAAUGCAAAAUGCAUUGAUGUUGUGGCCCAUUGAGUGUCGCUUGUUUUCUUGGAUACAGAAAAUUAUGUGGGCAUGGGGUUUUUCUUGACUCUUGUUUUGUCCUCCUUUAGUAUUCUUUAAAACGACAGUUCAUGCGCGCCUAGGCUCGUACCUGCGUGAUGUUCUUUGUCGAAGAGGAAUGCUACCUGGUUGAUCCUGCCAGUAGUCAUAUGCUUGUCUCAAARAUUAAGCCAUGCAUGUGUAA
rnacentral:misc_RNA from 1 species